UGGUGUGCUGCAACUGGAAAUUAUGAUCAAGAUAAACUGUGGAGCUAUUGCCCUGAAAUGUAUACGUCCUGGACUAACACGAAGUCCAAAUGUGUGUUCCCAUUUAUUUACAAGGGGCAGUUGCACUAUUCCUGCAUCCAGAAUGAGAUGCUGCCUGGAAAAUUCUGGUGUGCUAC